rnacentral:rRNA from 1 species
AUUGAACGCUGGCGGCAGGCCUAACACAUGCAAGUCGAACGGUAACAGGAAGCAGCUUGCUGCUUUGCUGACGAGUGGCGGACGGGUGAGUCAUGUCUGGGAAACUGCCUGAUGGAGGGGGAUAACUACUGGAAACGGUAGCUAAUACCGCAUAACGUCGCAAGCCCAAAGAGGGGGACCUUAGGGCCUCUUGCCAUCGGCUGUGCCCAGAUGGGAUUAGCUAGUAGGUGGGGUAACGGCUCACCUAGGCGACGAUCCCUAGCUGGUCUGAGAGGAUGACCAGCCACACUGGAACUGAGACACGGUCCAGACUCCUACGGGAGGCAGCAGUGGGGAAUAUUGCACAAUGGGCGCAAGCCUGAUGCAGCCAUGCCGCGUGUAUGAAGAAGGCCUUCGGGUUGUAAAGUACUUUCAGCGGGGAGGAAGGGAGGAAAGUUAAUACCUGUGCUCAUUGACGUUACCCGCAGAAGAAGCACCGGCUAACUCCGUG